ensembl:snRNA U6 U6 spliceosomal RNA
UUAUUUUGACAAUUUAUAUACUAAAAUUGGAACAAUAAAGAAAAGAUUAGCAUUGUCCCUGCACAAUGAUGAAAUGCAAAUUCAUGAAGCAGUCCAUAUUUUU